GUGGAGUGCUGCAGAGAUGGUUGUCCUUCUGGAAGGUUCUCCCAUCUGCACAGAGGAGCUCUGUCGGAGUGACCAUCGGGUUCUUCCUCCCUGAGUUGUAGCUUCUUGAUAAUGAGACUUUCCUGGACGUUGCCCAGACAGGAUGUCAGACAGACUGGUGUCCAAUCACUUUUCUCUCCAGGACUGGGGAAGAUGUUAAGAGGUCUUCCACGCUGAAGGUUAUUGUCCUGUUGAAAGGUGAAAUAAUCUCCCAGUGUCUGGUGGAAAGCAGACUGAACCAGGUUUUCCUCUAGGAUUUUGCCUUUUGCACGGAACUCCAUUCCGUUUAUUUUUUAUCCUGAAAAACUCCCCAGUCCUUAACAAUUACAAGCAUACCCAUAACAUGAUGCAGCCACAACUAAUGUUGGAUAUGUGGAGAAUGGUACUCAGUAAUGUGUUGUAUUGUAUUUGCCCCAAACAUAACACUUUGUAUUCAGGACAAAAAGUGAAUUGCUUUGCCACAUUUUUUGUAGUGUUACUUUAGUUCCUUGUUUCAAACAGAACGCAUGUUUAGGAAUAUUUUUUAUUCUCUACGGGCUUCCUUCUUUUCACUCUGUCAAUUAGGUUAGUAUUAUGGAGUAACUACAAUGUUGUUGAUCCAUCCCCAGCUGUCUCCUAUCACAGCCAUUAAACUCUGUAACUGUUUUAAAGUCACCAUUGGCCUUAUGGUGAAAUCCCUGAGCGGUUUCCUUCCUCUCCGGCAACUGAGUUAGGAAGGAUUCCUGUAUCUUUGUUGUGACUGGGUGUAUUGAUACACCAUCCAAAGUGUAAUUAAAAACUUCAC
ensembl:lncRNA